UUCCCGGUGGUCUAGUGGUUAAGGAUUCGACAUUGUCACUGCUGUGGCUUGGGUUCAAUUUCUGGCCUGGAAA
rnacentral:tRNA from 1 species